UUUUUUUUUUUUUUUCUUUUUUCUUUUUAAAGGUUGGAGGAAGUCAGGGCAGAAAUGCAGGAACUCAUUCCUGGCUUUUGCCCUGCACCAUGAUCUGAGGCUGGACCUCCUGGGGUCCUGGCUGCUGAUGUGGAACUGGAUUUUGAGGGUCAAGUCAGCUCUGGAAUCACUGGUACUAACUGCCAGUUAGUGAGAACCACUAGUUCUUCCAGAGUCUGGAGGAGGGUACUAGGAGCAUGCUGCUGAGAAUGAAAGAAAAAUGGUUUGAGUCAUAGAAUCUGCAUAGAAAUGACACAGGGUGGCCAAGCUUAUGUGUAGGGAGAUGCCGCUGUUCAGGGCACACAAAGAGUAACUAAUAUGCCCCCUCACAGGAGCUGUUGGUGGACCCAGAGGCAUGUAGACUCACGUGUUUGCGCAGUGCUGGUCCCCUGCCCGGAAUGAACACAUGGCCAUGUGGGAGGAAUGGCUUUCUCCUCCCUCAGCUUUUUACCGUGGCCCAUUAUAGAGGAACUCCAGCCCUUUUGGAAACAGUGAUCAGAGCUGCUUCUGCUUAUCCCUCCAUGCUGUCAAUUGCUCUCUCUCUCCAAGUGGGUAAUGUGAUAAGAAGGGGGGCCUGCACAGGGGUGGCACAGGCACCCUUCCUUGCUCUGCUGUCAGGGCUGCCCUGCCUUCAGGGAGCCUGCAUUCUACCCAUCCUCACUGGAGCAAGGUCUACCCCUGCACAGAAAAGACGUGCAGUUCUGAGUGCAACCGAGAGUAUCAAAAGCCCAGCUGUGGAUGGGGACCCAAGCUAUGCUUGCCAAUCCAGCCUUUUGGGUAACAAAGUCGAUGAUGGCUCCUGUUCCCAUGAAAGGGACUGAUAUUUCAUCUAAGCAGCAAAGAAUGGCCCACUUGGGUUAGUGGAGAGAAAGCAUUGAAGGAAAGGAAGGUGGCAUGAGUGAAGCGGUGGAGGGGCCCAGAGAAGAGUACUAGCAAACAAGGCAGAAGGAGAGGCAGGAGGCUGGCCACCAUAGGCCUUGGGUGCCAUGCUGAGAAGUUCAAGCUCAUUGGACAGAAAUACGAGAGCCAUGAAAGUUUGUUUAUGACAAAAAUCAGAAUCUAAGAUUCUGACAACCUGGCCACUGACUAGAAGGAAGGAGUAGGAGAGGUCAUGGGGGCUGAAGGGUCAUGGGGAAGUCGGUUUCAAGUGUGGUGGCCUGAAAGCUGCAGAUGGCAUUCUGAGAAGCUUGGGGGUGAGAAGGAGGAGGGUGGGGAAACGACAAUGACCUUGGUGGCAGACGUUUGGGGACUGAGCUGGUGUAGGACAGCCAGAGAGGAGGGUCCAGCAGAAGCCUUAGGAGGGAGGUUGGAGCCCUCUCAUGAGGUGGAGAAGCCUGGGGUUUAGAUAGGAGAGCCAUCAUCAUUACGUGAGAAUGGAGCUGUGGAGGGAGAGACAGCAUGGUGGGA
rnacentral:lncRNA from 1 species